UUGUGGAGGAGGACGCCGAAGGUGGGGCUAAUGACUGGGGUGAAGUCGUAACAAGGUAGCCGUACCGGAAGGUGCGGCUGGAUCACCUCCUAACAGGGAGACAACAGAAUGUAAAAAUUAAUUUUGUCACCUUAGGUCGAUCGGUACCUCUGAUUCUUUUUUAAGAAUUUCAGUUUCUAAGUUUUUUCUAGGUCACACCCAUUACUUUUCCCUGGGCCAUUAGCUCAGGUGGUUAGAGCGCACCCCUGAUAAGGGUGAGGUCCCUGGUUCAAGUCCAGGAUGGCCCAUAUCUCUAUGUUGGGGGUAUAGCUCAGUUGGUAGAGCGCCUGCUUUGCAAGCAGGAUGUCAGCGGUUCGAGUCCGCUUACCUCCACUGAAUACCACCACUUUAGUGAUUUUAACUGGGAAAUUUAUUGAGAUGCUGCCUAAUUUCUGAACGAAUCUAGCUUCCUAAUUUACUUUUAAGUUAAUUAAGAUGCUGGACUCAUUGAAUUAAUUUCAUUGAUUUCAGAGAACCUUGACAACUGCAUAGAUUAUUUUUAAAGACAAUAAGCAUCUUUAAUGAUGCAGAUUUAUUAUUUGUGCAAAUGCAUUAAUAACAAUUCUAUUAAGCUGAUGCUUCAAUAUCUGAAGUUAUUGGUCAAGCUACAA
rnacentral:misc_RNA from 1 species